GGGCCUGUAGCUCAGCUGGGAGAGCGCGUGCUUUGCAAGCAUGAGGCCAGCGGUUCGAACCCGCUCAGGUCCACCA
rnacentral:tRNA from 1 species